AGCCCCCUCUGGAUUGAUCUAGGUGUCAGUAACGCACAGGUUUUCCAGCUCUAAGCAGAGAGGAGAGUACACAGAAGAAGGACAGAGUGACUGUGUGACUGGGUGUGUGUGUGUGAGUGAGAGAGUGUGUGGGAGGUCGUGCAGCAUGCAGCAGUAGAGAGGAUACACACACUCGCCAUGGCGUGUCCCCCGCCCCCUCCCCCUGUUUAAGAAGAGCUACGUCCUCCCUCUAACUCACCACUGGGGGCUUCAGAGUGGAGCCCCACACACCACAUCACACCACACCACACACACCGGCCCACUACAAUCCCAGGUGUGUGUGUGCGAGUUGGGUUCUCGCCCCCUUCCUGAGGGAAGAUGUCUGUGGUGAUGCCCCUGGAUGGGGUGAGGGAGGGGGAGAGUGUGCUGGUUACUGAGACCCCAGCCGGCACGCGCUGCAAAGGAAACACCAAUUUACCUGGCAAAGACAACUGCACUGACAACAACAACACAGAGCCUGACGACAACCUCUCACAAGACACACAGAAACGCUGUCAGAACCAUGGCCAUACCAGGAAAAGAGCCAAGUCCAAUGCCAAGCUGAAGCUGGUGCGGAGUCUAGCAGUAUGUGAAGAGUCAUCGGGUCCAUUCUCAACUGAUGGACCUCCAGAGACGCAGGACAUCAUUCAGCUACACAUCAGCUGUCCUUCAGACAAAGAAGAGGAGAAAUCCUCGAAAGAUGAGUACGAGAGUGAGGAGAGGGAGAAGAAGGACAAGACUCCUCGCAAGAUGCUCUCGCGGGACUCCAGUCAGGAGUACACAGACUCCACGGGCAUCGAUGUGCACGAGUUCUUGGUGAACACACUGAAAAACAACCCCAGGGACAGAAUGAUGCUACUGAAGCUGGAACAAGAUAUACUGGAGUUCAUCAAUGAUGACAAUAAUCAGUAUAAGAAGUUCCCUCAGAUGACCUCUUACCAUCGCAUGCUACUGCAUCGGGUGGCAGCAUAUUUUGGAAUGGACCACAACGUGGACCAAACUGGCAAAGCAGUCAUCAUCAACAAAACGAGCAACACGCGCAUCCCUGAACAGAGGUUUUCUGAGCACAUUAAGGACGAAAGGAACAUGGAUUUCCAAAAGAAAUUCAUUCUCAAGAGGGAUGAUGCAAGCAUGGACAAAGACGAUAACCAGUCCUCUCAAAACGGAUACAUCAAUGACAACAGGGGUAAUAAGGAGAGUUCGAGCAGAGCGUCCAGCAGCCGGCAGAGCAGCACAGACAGCGAUAUGAAGAGUCUGGAGCCACGGCCGUGGAGCAGCACAGACUCGGACAGUUCCAACCGCACACUGCGGCCACCCGUCACCAAGGCCAGCAGCUUCAGUGGCAUCUCUAUCCUCACACGCGGCGACAGCCUGGGCAGCAAGGGCUCGCAGGGUAGUCUCCCUCUCAUCACCACAGAGACAUGCCCCCAGCCCCAGCCCCCCCAGCAGGGACGCAGCCUCUUGCCCUGUCCUUCCAACUGCCCCUCUAAUGCCCCUCCACCCCAGAACCAGGCGCCCCCACCACCCCCACAAACUUGUCUGUUCCAGGGAGAUGAGUUGACCCCAGGCUUCGGGCAGAUGUCUCUGAGCCGCCAGGGCUCCAGCGAGGCUCCAGAGCCACCCACCCUCUACCAGCCUCCUCCUGCCGUCCUGUCCCAGCACCCCCCACCACAGCCAAGUUACAUCAUGCCCCCACCGCCCUCUGGGUACCAACCGCCCACACCUCACCCACACCCUCCUCCACCCCCUCCGCCUCCUACCCAGCCUGUACUGCAGACAGCACCGCCUGCUCAGGGCUACAUGCAGCCCCCGCCACCACCUCAGCAGAUCCAGGUGCAGUAUUACUCAGCUGGUGGGCAGUAUCCGAGUUCAGGACAGCAGUACAGGUCCAUAUCCCACCAAGUGUCAUACCCUGCUCAACGCUCUCAGACCCUCCCCCCACCAACGCAGCCCUCCGCUCCUCUCCAGCCUAUGAUGGCGAGUCAGCAGCCAACGUAUCAGAGCAUGAUGGGAGUUCAGCAGCCGCAGAGUGCCAGUAUAAUGAGCUCACAGCGCACAGGCAUGAGCGGACAGAUGCAAGGCAUGAUGGUCCAGUACACACCCAUGCCCUCCUAUCAGGUGGCCGUAGCUAAUGAAACCCAGCCUGUGGUGCAGCAGCAGUACCAGCAGCCUGUCAUGGUGCCUGUUAGCCAGUCUGUCCAGGGUGCCAUGCCAACCCCUGCACCCAUGCCAGUCUACUACAGUGUCUUGACCCCCACACAACAGAACAGCACAAGUCCAUCUGUGGGCUACCUGCAGCCUCCCAGUUCAGAUCAGUACCAGAUGACCCAGUCUCCGUCCCCCUGCAGCCCUCAGCAGAUACAGCAGCAGUAUUCAGGAGUGCCGCCCCCUGGUCCAGGUGUCAUGGUGAUGCAGCUGAGUGUUCCAAAUGGGCCACAGUCUACUCAGAAUCCUCCUAUGGUGCAGUGGAAUCCCUGCAAGUAUUAUAGCGUGGAGCAGAGACCCAGCAAGCCUGAGCCACAGGUCAGCACUCAGUUAAGUAGUCCUUUGGCAUCUCCUACUCAGUCUCCCACUCCGUCUCCAUCCAGCAGCGGGAACAGUGUGUGCCCUGGACUCGGCCCACUUCCACUCAUUUCUCAGUUUCCUCGGCCUGGAGGACCCGCACAAGGUGACUGCACUGGGGUGGUGAGCCGUGUGUUGGAGGUGACGGAUCUACCCGAGGGCAUCUCUCGUCUAGAUGCCGAGAAGCUCUUCAACCAGCUCUCACUCUGCGGUGCCAAAAUCCAGUGGCUGAAGGACCCCCAGGUGCCCCGGGGGCCCACAACGGCCCCGGGACCCGGGGGAGGAUGCGGAAUGGGCAAAAACGAUGCACAUGACCCAGCCCACCUCUACACAGUGGUGGCCGUGUUCCCAAACACCAUGGCUGCCCAGAGCGCGUCCUUCAAGCUGAACAACAGUGGAGGAAGCCUGUUCAAACUGCGCGCCGCCAAAAAGAACUAUGACCUGCGCGUGCUGGAGCGAGCCAGCUCCCAGUGA
ensembl:lncRNA